UACGUAGGGUGCGAGCGUUUGUCCGGAAUUAUUGGGCGUAAAGAGCUCGUAGGCGGCUUGUCGCGUCGACCGUGAAAACUUGGGGCUCAACCCCAAGCCUGCGGUCGAUACGGGCAGGCUCGAGUUCGGUAGGGGAGACUGGAAUUCCUGGUGUAGCGGUGAAAUGCGCAGAUAUCAGGAGGAACACCGGUGGCGAAGGCGGUGGGCUGGGCCGGCACUGACGCUGAGGAGCGAAAGCGUGGGGAGCGAACAGG
rnacentral:rRNA from 1 species